GAACUUCAGGAAAAAGCAGAUUGAAGAGCUGAAGGGACAAGAAGUUAGUCCUAAAGUGUACUUCAUGAAGCAGACCAUUGGGAAUUCCUGUGGCACAAUCGGACUUAUUCAUGCAGUGGCCAAUAAUCAAGAUAAACUGGGAUUUGAGGAUGGAUCAGUUCUGAAACAGUUUCUUUCUGAAACAGAGAAAAUGUCCCCUGAAGACAGAGCAAAAUGCUUUGAAAAGAAUGAGGUAAGAGAACUUUCAGAGCAUUGCCUUUAAAUAACUCUAGAGAUUUUUGUGCUAAUUAUUUUCUUUCUUCCGCAGGCCAUACAGGCAGCCCAUGAUGCCGUGGCACAGGAAGGCCAAUGUCGGGUAGAUGACAAGGUGAAUUUCCAUUUUAUUCUGUUUAACAACGUGGAUGGCCACCUCUAUGAACUCGAUGGACGAAUGCCUUUUCCGGUGAACCAUGGUGCCAGUUCAGAGGACACCCUGCUGAAGGACGCUGCCAAGGUCUGUAGAGAAUUCACCGAGCGUGAGCAAGGAGAAGUCCGCUUCUCUGCCGUGGCUCUCUGCAAGGCAGCCUAAUGCUCUGUGGGAGGGACUUUGCUGAUUUCCCCUCUUCCCUUCAACAUGAAAAUAUAUAACCCCCCAUGCAGUCUAAAAUGCUUCAGUACUUGUGAAACACAGCUGUUCUUCUGUUCUGCAGACACGCCUUCCCCUCAGCCACACCCAGGCACUUAAGCACAAGCAGAGUGCACAGCUGUCCACUGGGCCAUUGUGGUGUGAGCUUCAGAUGGCGAAGCAUUCUCCCCAGUAUAUGUCUUGUAUCCGAUAUCUAAUGCUUUAAAUGGCUACUUUGGUUUCUGUCUGUAAGUUAAGACCUUGGAUGUGGUUUAAUUGUUUGUCCUCAAAAGAAAUAAAACUUUUCUGCUGAUAGGAUA
rnacentral:sRNA from 1 species